rnacentral:rRNA from 1 species
AACGAACGCUGGCGGCAGGCUUAACACAUGCAAGUCGAACGCCCCGCAAGGGGAGUGGCAGACGGGUGAGUAACGCGUGGGAACAUACCCUUUCCUGCGGAAUAGCUCUGGGAAACUGGAAUUAAUACCGGAUGUGCCCCGGACUUGAUCCGGGGGAAAGAUUUAUCGGCAAGGGAUCGGCCCGCGUUGGAUUAGGUAGUUGGUGGGGUAACGGCCUACCAAGCCGACGAUCCAUAGCUGGUUUGAGAGGAUGAUCAGCCACACUGGGACUGAGACACGGCCCAGACUCCUACGGGAGGCAGCAGUGGGGAAUCUUGGACAAUGGGGGCAACCCUGAUCCAGCCAUGCCGCGUGAGCGAUGAAGGCCUUCGGGUUGUAAAGCCCUUUCGUGGGGGAAGAUAAUGACUGUACCCCAAGAAGAAGCCCCGGCUAACUCCGUGCCAGCCGCCGCCGUAAUAC